UACAUGGGGUGCAAACGUUGCUUGGAAUUAUUGGGCGUAAAGCGCACGUAGGCGGUUUGUUAAGUCGGAUGUGAAAUCCCUCGGCUCAACUGAGGAAGUGCAUCCGAAACUGGCAGACUUGAGUACUAAAGAGGGUCGCGGAAUUCCCGGUGUAGAGGUGAAAUUCGUAGAUAUCGGGAGGAACACCGGUGGCGAAGGCGGCGACCUGGGUAGAUACUGACGCUGAGGUGCGAAAGCGUGGGGAGCAAACAGG
rnacentral:rRNA from 1 species